GGGGUUCUGGCCGAGUGGUUAAGGCGCUGUGUUUAGGUCCCGUAUCUACUCCGCAGUGGGAAACCGCGCAGGUUCGAAUCCUGCGGACCUCA
rfam:Blumeria graminis f. sp. tritici 96224 unplaced genomic scaffold Scaffold-435, whole genome shotgun sequence.